CUGGUUGAUCCUGCCAGAGGUUACUGCUAUCGAGGUUCGACUAAGCCAUGCGAGUCGAAUGUAGCAAUACAUGGCGUACUGCUCAGUAACACGUGGAUAACCUACCCUUGGGUCCGGGAUAACCCCGGGAAACUGGGACUAAUACCGGAUAGAUCAAAGAUACUGGAAUGUUCCUUGGUCUAAAACUCCGGUGCCCAAGGAUGGGUCUGCGGCCUAUCAGGUAGUAGUGGGUGUAACGUACCUACUAGCCUACGACGGGUAAGGGUUGUGAGAGCAAGAGCCCUGAGAUGGAUUCUGAGACAUGAAUCCAGGCCCUACGGGGUGCAGCAGGCGCGAAAACUUUACAAUGCGGGAAACCGCGAUAAGGGGACCCCGAGUGCCAGUACCUAGUACUGGCUGUCCCGCUGUCCAAAUAACAGUGGUUAGCAAGGGCCGGGCAAGACCGGUGCCAGCCGCCGCGGUAACACCGGCGGCCCGAGUGGUAGCCGUUAUUAUUGGGUUUAAAGGGUCCGUAGCCGGCUUAUUAAGUCUCUUGGGAAAUCUGGCGACUUAAUCGUCAGGCGUCCAAGAGAUACUGAUAGGCUCGGGACCGGGAGAGGUGGGAGGUACUCCAGGGGUAGGGGUGAAAUCUCGUAAUCCUUGGGGGACCACCGAUGGCGAAGGCAUCCCACCAGAACGGGUCCGACGGUGAGGGACGAAAGCUGGGGGCACGAACCGGAUUAGAUACCCGGGUAGUCCCAGCUGUAAACGAUGCUCGCUAGGUGUCAGGUGCGGUGCGACCGCAUCUGGUGCCGCAGUGAAAACUUGAAGCGAGUCACCUGGGAAGUACGGUCGCAAGGCUGAAACUUAAAGGAAUUGGCGGGGGAGCACUACAACGGGUGGAGCCUGCGGUUCAAUUGGAUUCAACGCCGGG
rnacentral:rRNA from 1 species